rnacentral:lncRNA from 1 species
CCGGAGUGCCUCAAGUUCAGCAAACACCCUCAACACACUCUUUAGCCAGUGUGUGAAUACUAACUCCUCAAAAGGAAAAGCGGCCUGGCACUGUUCUAGCAGAUGGUCCAGGAGCCACUGCCCUAGUUCUUCCUGAUGGUGAUACUAUGCCUUUCUAUCUUCCCAUCAACAGGUUAUCACGCYGGCAUCUGUAAGUUGCUGUUGAGAUGUCACCUCUGCUGACCACGACAGAUGCCGUUAAUCUACAAGACCAUCCAGCUUCCCAUGUAAAUACAUGGAUUUGGCUUGCACAACGAUCAGCUAACCUCUCUGCUUUCUGUAUUGCAGGAGGACGAUCAGUGGAUGAUGUCUUAACUACAUGUUACAUAGGUGUACCAGCUCCACUCAUGGUACUACAGAGUUAUAUAUAAAAAAAAAGGUAUUUCUGUUACUCCCAUGAAUUUAUACAAUUUGGGUAUUGUUUCCCAAAAGAUGACACCUUGGACUUACUCUUUUUGUAUAGCUAACAUAUCUAAAGCAUAUAUUUGCUUUCGCUUUUUUUUUUUUUUUUUUUCCAGAAGUGAAAGGAAUGAGGAAGCUCUCAGAGGAAAAGUUCCUUACUCUUUCUGCAGACUUUGCACCUUUGAAUUUCAACCACAGAUAUUCUUCUCUAAGUUUUCACAGAAUCACAGAAUCACAGAAUGGUUGAGGUUKGAAGGGACCUCUGGAGAUCAUCUAGUCCAACUCCCCUGCUCAAGCAGGGUCACCUASAGCACGUUGCACAGGAUCGUGUCCAGACGGGUUUUGAAUAUCUCCAGAGAAGGAGACUCCACAACCUCUCUGGGCAACCUCUUCCAGCGCUCUGUCACCCUCACAGUGAAGAAGUUUUUCCUCAUGUUCAGAUGGAACUGUCUGUGUUUCAGUUUGYGCCCGUUGCCUCUUGUCCUGUCACUGGGCACCACUGAAAAGAGUCUGGCCCCAUCCUCUCUACACCCUCCCUUCAGAUUGAUACACACAUGGAUAAGAUCCCCCCUCAGUCUUGUCUUCUCCAUGCUGAACAGGCCCAGCUCUCUCAGCCUCUCCUCAUGUGAGAGAUGCUCCAGUCCCCUAAUCAUCUUUGUAGCCCUCCACUGGACUCUCUCCAGUAGCUCCAUGUCUCUCUUGUAUUGGGGCCCCCAGUACUGGACUAAGUUUACUUCCAGUARACUUAUCAGUACAUGUAUGCAGAACAUAAUCAUAUUGCUUUCAUGCACACAUGCUCUUUUUAUAUAA